AGUGCAGCUCGUGCUGACGCAGGACUGUGUAAGGGAUCCGCAGCCAUGCCCGCUGCGGUCCCUUGGCGGUCCGUGCUGUUCAGGGCUGCUCGGCCGGCACGGAGGAGCCGCCACCUUAAAUGCUGCCCAGCGCCGUGCAGGCACGGCUCCCUGCGCUGCCCUGCACUCACGGUGCUCCUGACUCGUAGUUUUAAUUUCCCUCGUGCCUGGAGACACAAUCAGCCACACAUCAGAAUAUUAUCUUUUAUAAAAAUCAGAAUGGUGAUCUGAAAAGAACAUAAGGAAGGAACAAUGAGGACAUUAUCUUGGCCUUUGAUCAUGAAAUUCUGUGUUUACUCAUGUGAGCUCUGUGAUUGUUGCCAGAUGAAUAACACACAUCCUCAGUCUGGUUUCUGAAGUGGACAGGUAUUAAAAACCCCAAAUGUUUGCAAAAUUGAAUACUACCCAGUACACAGCUCUAUGAAAAGGAGUAGUUAAAAACGAGAUUUGUAAAGUGCCCACCUAUUUCCACACUUGACUUCUGCAGGUCAGUGCAUGGGGUCAUACAGAAAAAGCUUGGUAGUUACACCACCAGUUAUCUUCAUCUCAGACAUGCAGUUUAGGCUUUACUGCGGGCCCAACAAUAAUGCAUUUAAUAAAUACCAAAGAUAAUUGCUUUAAAUGGAGAGGGAACUAACAGCAAAUUUGCCAAAAUACAGAAAAAAAAGAGAUGAAAUUAACUCCCAAAGUAGACACUCAUGACUAAAAUUUAUAUACCCCCAAUCAUCUGAGAAAGUCCCACAAAAGCACUCUGAAUUGCAGUACUGUCAAGCCACUGAAACCAUAAAAUACAGCUAAAUUAUUAAUACAAAUAUAACUAUAAGCCUUUCUGUCUUCUUCAUGCAUUUCCUAACAUUCUUAACAGAAACAAUUCAGCAUUGAGUGGUCUUCUCAAGGUCUUGGUCUUGCUGCAGUUCUUGUUCACAAGACUGUAGUAGUUUAUUGAAAGAAGACAUAAAGGUGAGUCUGUGUCUACUUUAUUAUCACAUGCAGACACAAGUGGGACAGGGUGAGCCACACCAGCCUUCACAGCUGGCAGACAACCACAACUACAGCCGACUUUGGAUCAAGCAGCCCAUGUGCUGCUCUAUGCAUCCUCCCUCUGAGAGCCUGCUCAGCCCCUUCCUAAAGCUCACAGAAGUUUCCAUGAGGUGCAGGGGGCCCAGUGGCUGUACAAUCAUAGAACCAGAGCAUAUGCUGAGUUGGAAGGGACCCAUCAGAGUCAUUGAGUCCAACUCUGGUCCUACUCAGGACAUCUCAAAAAUCCCACAAUGUGCCUGAGAGCACUGCCCAAAUGCUUCUUGAGCUCUGUGAGGCUCGUGGCUGUGACCACUUCCCUGGGAUGCCUGUUCAAGUGCCCAACCACACUCGGUGAAAAACCUUUUCCUGAUACACGACCUGAACCACCUAUGACUCAGCUUCAUGCUGUUUUCUCAAGUCCUGUCACUGGGUACCACAGAGAUCAGUACCUGCCCCUCUUCCUCUCACGAACAAGUUGAAGACUGAAAUGAGGUCUCUCCUCAGUCUCCUCCAGGCUGAAUAGAUCAAGUGACUUCAGCCACUCCUCACAUGGCUUCCCAUCAAGGCUCUUCACCAUUCUUAUAGUCCUUCUUUGUAUGCUAGUAGCUUAAUGUUAUUUUUAUACAGUGGCACCCAAAACUGCCCCAGCAC